rnacentral:rRNA from 1 species
CCUACGGGAGGCAGCAGUGAGUAAUAUUGGUCAAUGGACGGAAGUCUGAACCAGCCAUGCCGCGUGCAGGAUGACGGCUCGAUGAGUUGUAAACUGCUUUUGUACGCGCAUAAUAGUGCUUACGUGUAGGUAUUUGAAUGCAUCGGACGAAUAAGGAUCGCCUAACUCCGUACCAGCAGCCGCGGUAAGAAGGAGGAUCAGAGCGUUAGCCGGUUUUAUUGGGUUUAAAGGUUGCUUAGGCUGACGGAUAAGUUAGAGGUCAAAUGUCGGGGCUUAACCCCGUGCCUGCCUCUGAUACUGUUCGACUAGAGAGCGGAUGAAGCAGGCGGAAUGAGUAGUGGAGCGGUGACAUGCUUAGAGAGUACUCAGAACACCGAUUGCGCAGGCAGCUUGCUAAUCCGCAUCUGACGCUGAUGCACGAAAGCGUGGGUAGCGAACAGGACUAGAUACCCGAGUAGUC